rnacentral:rRNA from 1 species
GACGAACGCUGGCGGCGUGCUUAACACAUGCAAGUCGAACGGUGAAGCGCCAGCUUGCUGGAGUGGAUCAGUGGCGAACGGGUGAGUAACACGUGAGCAACCUGCCCCUGACUCUGGAAUAAGCGCUGGAAACGGCGUCUAAUACUGGAUACGAGAAGGGUCCGCAUGGGCACUUUCUGGAAAGUUGUUCGGUUGGGGAUGGGCUCGCGGCCUAUCAGCUUGUUGGUGAGGUAAUGGCUCACCAAGGCGACGACCGGUGGCCGGCCUGAGAGGGCGACCAGGCACACUGGAACUGAAACACGGUCGCGGCCCCGACGGGAGGCAGCAGCGGGGAAUAUUGGCCAAUGGGCGAGAGCCGGAUCCAGCCGUGCCGCGUGUGUGAAGAAGGUCUCCGGAUUGUAAAGCACUUUAAGUUGGGAGGAAGGGCAGUAAGUGAAGCCCUGGCUGUUUUGACGUUCCCAACAGAAUAAGCAACGGCUAACUUCGUG